CCCCCCUCCCUUAUCUUCUGCCCUCGCUCCAUCCAGGCCCGAUGCGGAUCUCAUGGACGAACGAACCCUAGUCUAUUUCCGCCUGAUUCAGCAGCCACGACCCCGUGGUUCUUCUCGUCGGCAGAUCUACCUCCCUCAGGGAGUGCUCUUCAUCAUGGUUAUGACAGAGGUAAUCUUCAUGUUGUCUUCUAGAGUAUGUUCCUAAUUCCUCUUUCAAUCCUGCAGAUUUCUCUCUCUGCUCGGGCGGGGGCGCAGCAAUUCUUCGUGCCUUAUAGUCCACAAAGGUAAAUAAAGGUGGAGUGUGAGCUUCCCUUCAACGUUUGUUGGUCACUGGAGUUUUUGUGUCGGCUACCAAGUAUUUGCAAGAUGAGAACUGUUGUGGAUUAGCCCGCAUCAAUUUGUUCAUGGAGACGUGUCGGACAGAAAAGCGGUAAAGCUCAUUGCCCGCAUGUCGGUUACUGAGUAUUUGCAAGAUGGAAAUUGUUGCCGGUUAGCCCAGCGUCAAUUUGUUCAAUGGAGGAGAUGUGUCUACCAAAAGGUACUCAUGCUAUUAUCACACAGUACAAUUUCAAACCUGGUUUGGCAGUUCAAUUAUUUGUUUUCCUUUGAUUAACACACAUGUUUUUUGAUGUUCUGGUUGUCUGCACUUGUUCAUAUCACCCUUUUGGUCACAGAAUGACUCCCAGCUCUGAAGGGAUCUGCUCUCACCAAUAUAGGCAUCUGAAAAUGUCGAUCAUAUAUGCCAUUAACCCAGGCGCAACCCAUCGUACCAGACGGCGACAGAGUGUAGUUGGGACGUCCAGAAUUUCACGAGGAAAGCUGGUGUGGAGAGCGUGACAAUCUGUCACCUGUCACACAUGGCAGCAAAUUCCCUCAAGCAAGCUCUACAGACUACAGCCAUGGUGGGAAGGACAUCAGAGCUGACACUGAGCCGUGUCCCAUGCAGCCAACAAGUACCACUACUGUGAUGUCUGCUGCUAGCUAUCCCUCUUUGCCUAAACUGAAUUAGGACCUAGGGCAGCUGCCGCGCCUCCAGGCUAAUCACUUGCUUUGACAGGUCCUGGUCGGGCUACCACUGGAUGCUCCAGGACACGAACCAUAUACAGAGUCCUGGAUGCAUCAGGAGGCUCCAGGCCAGGAGCUGGCAUCCCCAGCAGGGGCAAACCAAACAACACCUUAGCUCAAAACAAAAAAGGUAAUGUGAAACAGAGCACAACCAAACAGCUAGCAAGAUUUUUACUAUAAGGCAUCUCAAACAAACAGAUUCAGCAGCAACAGAUGACGACGAUUUAUUGCAAAAAUUUCCAUCCCGGCAUCAUAUAUAUCAUAACCUUUGUCCACUGAUUCAACAGCAAUAGACGACGUCAUAAGUCUCAGAUUCAGCGAUAAUAAGAUGAUAACAGGAUGAAAACACUAGUUUUCUGUGCACUGAUUCAACAGCAAUAGACGACGGUUCAAAGAUGAUAAGCAGACUAAACCACUAGUUUGUUAACCGAAAGUGUAUCUCCAUUUAUGCCUAACCCUCUGUUCGGUAUUCACCCAUUCUGAUAACCUGCAAAGUAUAAAAAGUUGAUCAGUAACUCUGGCCAAUGCACAAAUGAGAAAAUGUUGGCAAAUCAUUUAGAAGGUCAAUAGGGCUUUCGUUAUUUGUUUGUGAGACUUGGAUCUCAUUUGCCGGUGCAGUCUUCACCGUUGUUCAAGAAUUUACUUUUAUAUUGAUUUUGUAAACAGUCGUAGAAAUAAACAUGAGCGGCACAAACUGGAAAUAUUUAAUAACACCCACCACUAACAUUUCAGGGAUAGCUCACUAUAUGACAUCUUUUAAAGGCUAAAAGCACCCUACUUAGUAGCUAGAAGUGCCCAGAACUGUGUGUACUGGAAACCUUUUACAGCCAAAAUAUGUAGGUAGGUACCCUCUUGGCUAUAUGCUGAACCCAGAAAACGCUAUGUAUAUAUCAUUCACUGGUCUCUCCUUGAGGCACAGUCGUCAUCUAAAGGCAAUUCUCGAAAAUGAGAUCGACUAACAAUGUAUCUGCUGAGGACUCUGCAGGGGAAACAUAAAAACCUAAAGAAGUAACCAAACAUUACAUAAUGAAUGGCAGAGGUAUCAGUCUAGAUGCACAAUAAAAAUGACCCAGCAGAGCCAAACAAACAAGGUUAAUAGGUAAGAAAGACCUGUUCCACUCAAUUAAUGGGUGAGCCACUAGAAAAAAGAUGCAGCCACAAUGCUCUGUUUCGUGAAUAUUUCAAGUAAAAACAUUUUAGCAAAGCGGGAAACACAUACUCCAAUGAAAGAUCUGGUGAGUGAGUCACAAAGGCAUCAUAUAUUAUGACAAAUACUUCCUCCGUCCCAUAAUGUAGACGUUGAGUCAAAAAACGUCUUACAUUACGGGACGGAGGGAGUAAUUUCUUCGAGAGUAAUAGUCUAUCAUAAUGCAUUCAGCAGGGUAAUUAUUCUUUUUGACAAAGAAUGCAACCAUGAACUGAAUAGUAAUUCAAUCAGAAAAAACCAGGAACAUGUUAUAUUCUUGUAAAAUCUAGCUCAAAUACUACAAAAAGAAUAGGAUCAUUGUUCAGAAUUGCUGCCACUCGGUUGUAGAUGCAAAUGAAGCAAAACGAGAUACAAAGCAAAUGGAAUCUGAAGCCGAACUAGAGAUUGUUGGUUUAGGGAAACCAUUUGAAAUAAGCAGAUGUAGAGUCGCGGGUUCCUACAAGCUCUGUCAUCAAGCAACCCCAGAAAAGUUGUACAUACAAACCCCAGAUGUAGACAAUGACUGCUGAGCGUCCACCUAUAGCCUACUGCUCUACUAAACAGCUAAAGUCACACGGCAGCUUGCGGACAGGGGCCGAGAAUUAAACAAAAUUCAGGUCUACAUACAAACUUCGAGUCCACGUUAAUUCAACGAAAUUCAACCUUGCAGUCCCUUUUACGUUUAGCUUUCGCCAUUUCUCAACCAAAAAGUAAGCAUAGUUCACGAAAAUUACUACUAAAUCUGGUAUAAUUCCUUUUAUAACAUAUAAGUAUAUAUGUUUAUGCUGUUCUCAUCAGGCAGACUACUCCCAACUUGCACAUCCUCUACUACCGCAGGACCUAAAAACGGACGGAUCGACCUCCAACUGAUUUACCAGACAGAUCGACCGCCAACCGAUUUACCAGACAGAUCCACCUCCAACCGAACGCACGAGCUUACUUAGGAUCUGUUCUAUAGGCUCGUACCGCUGCACCUCCAACCGAACGCACACCCUCUACGACCGCAGAAAACCCAAACAGUCAGAUCGACCUCCAAUCGAUUUAUACCUGAUUCAGCGGGUGCCCGCCCCCCCGUGGCUCCGCGUGUAGAACUGGUGCGCUUGCCCGAGCUGUCUCCUCGCCCCUCUGUUGUCCUCGCGCCGUCCCUUAACCCUGCACAAAAUGAUUGCGCUCAAGUAUUGUGCCCUGCCAAACAGAGGGAGGGGAGGAGGAAGAGGAGAAGGGAGCGCUCGACGCCGAGGAGGAGGAGGAGGAGAAGAAGAGCCUGUACCUGAGACCCCAGUCGAGUCGACCGGAGAACCCGUCGUCUGAGAACAGGCGGUGGGCCAGGCGGUGCGCCAGGCGGCGGAGGUCGGCGCGGAAGGCCCAGGCGGCGACCGUGGCGCCGCCGACCAGCAGCAGCCCCUUCCCGUCCCAGAUGGCCUUCCCCGCGGCGGUGGUGGCGUUGGCCGCGCGGCGGACGGCAAAGGCGACGAACAUCGGGAGUCUCGCCAUUCUCUCUUCUCUAACCCUAGCAACACAGGUUUGGGAAAGUUGGGAGUUGUUGCGCGAUGACAAAUGUCUGUGCGCUGAGUUUUUUUUUUGGUGUGUGUGCUAACUACUCCGUAGCUGAUUUGUGGGGAGGGCAAUGUCAAUCUUUCAUAACUUCACUAAACUAGCUCUAACUGAGGUUUGCAAUUUCCAAUUGGGCCACUCACUUUUGAAUGGGUUAAGUAAGAUCUGUGUCUCUAGAAUUGGAGGUAUGGGAGCAGGUAUGGUUUCGUCGGCGGGUCCUGCUCAUCAAUGGGAGGUGCGUGUAUAUGCCACGGGUGUUAGGGAGACCAUGGGGUUGCUUCGAGUUGAAUAGGGGUUUGUUUCGAUGUAUUCGUGAGUCACACAUCUCUUACGCUACUUCGUGGGUCGGUGUCGAAGGGAAAAUAUUAGGGCGACUGUUGUUCUUGCUCUUUGUGUGCCUCCUUCUAUCGAAGCCUACAUGGAGGGUAGGAGCGAAGUUGUGGAGGGGUGAUUGUCGGUUUAGAGGUUGGUGACCUUGGGUAGGCGUUGUCAGAGCGAUCGGCUUCGCGUGUUGGUGGCUAGGAGUGUCGGUCUUCUUCCCGCUUAUUUCGAUUGGGAGGUUGGUGCCUCGGAGCGAGCGGUGUGGAGUGGUUGUCAGUCGUGAUGUCGAUCGUUUGCCUCCCUUUCCCUUUCAUUAGAUAGGCCUAUAUCCCGUUGGUUGAUUUGAUAUGCAAUCUGCAUUUCAUAGCGUCUAUUUCUCUGUACCAUAACGUUUUGAUGGAUUAGAGUCUAUUGGCAUGUGGAUACUCUAUGGUUGUUUGAUUUUGUGGUUUGGCUUGUUUUUUGGUUGGUUAGGUGGUUUAUUGGUUUUAGAUUUAUGGAUAUAUUUGGGCCAGUGCAGAGCGGCACGAGUAGUGUCUUCUCCCAUAAAAAAUGCCUUCUCAUUAAUAUGUCUCCCUCAUUUUCCUUAUCUUGAAAUUCUACAUUGACAAGUUACAUAUCCCAACUCUUUUUUAAAAGUUAGACUACUAACUACUAACUCUUUCUCAAAUUUUCAUAACUCGAUUCCAGACAAUUUUCGGUUAGUGAUAUGGAAAGUUACAAAUAGACAAAUUGAAGAAUGUACUUGAUGCGUCUAGAAAAUCAAAUUUGACGCUAAUAACUUUGAUAAGUUUCUAAACAGGAAGAACCAUAUAUGUCCCUUCGGCAUGUGAUCUACAAUACCUCUGACCGACACAAAAAGAUUAAGACUCUAAUCAAUUCUUAGUGGAACCAAACAACUAAACGAAACUAGUGAAGUGUUGUUUACUGUUUGUCCACAAGAUAAUGCAUGAAAAUGAACUUCCAUGCUAUCACUUUGUGAUGCUAGAUGAAAAAAGUGUUUUUUCUUCUUUGCAUUUAUUUUACACAUUUCACAUGGUGCAACAUGGUGGCCCGAGUGCCAAAAAUAUGUUAAGUGUUAAUUUGUAAUGUGAGAUUUUCCCGCAUCUUGAGUGUAUCAUUGGCUAUAGAUGUUCAAAUUUGUAUUGUGUUCUGAUGCGAUCUCAUGUUUAUAUGACGAAGAGAUGCAUUAUUUCAUUUUAACAAAUCGGGUGGUUUAAACAUGCAGUUUGGUGCGUGUUCGAGAAAAAGGUGUAGAGGUUUGAAGGUGUUGCUCUCAACAGUCUUGUAUAUUAUUUUCAACACCAUGAUAUUAGUGUGGAAAUGAGUAAUGUUAUUUUGACCAUGGUCAGAUAUAAUGUGUGUUUUGGUCACUCUUUUCUUGCUUCCAUGCAAGGUAGAUUAGAGAAUGUAGCCAUUUGUGCUUUACCAUAGUUGUUAGUUUUGCAGUUGUGAUUUUCUUAUAGACUUGCUUGCAUUAUUGUCCUGAUUAUUAAUUCAAUUGUACCAAGGUAUGUUGUUUGUAUUUAGCUUGCAAUGUUAUUCUGCAGAAUGGAUUAAGGAACUGAA